rnacentral:rRNA from 1 species
UGGGGAAUAUUGCACAAUGGGGGAAACCCUGAUGCAGCGACGCCGCGUGAAGGAAGAAGUAUCUCGGUAUGUAAACUUCUAUCAGCAGGGAAGAAAAUGACGGUACCUGACUAAGAAGCCCCGGCUAACUACGUGCCAGCAGCCGCGGUAAUACGUAGGGUGCGAGCGUUAUCCGGAUUUACUGGGUGUAAAGGGAGCGUAGACGGCUUUGCAAGUCUGAUGUGAAAGGCUGGGGCUCAACCCCGGGACUGCAUUGGAAACUGUAGAGCUAGAGUGCCGGAGGGGUAAGCGGAAUUCCUAGUGUAGCGGUGAAAUGCGUAGAUAUUAGGAGGAACACCAGUGGCGAAGGCGGCUUACUGGACGGCAACUGACGUUGAGGCUCGAAAGCGUGGGGAGCAAACAGGAUUAGAUACCCUGGUA